rnacentral:rRNA from 1 species
AACGAACGCUGGCGGCAGGCCUAACACAUGCAAGUCGAGCGAACCCUUCGGGGUUAGCGGCGGACGGGUUAGUAACGCGUGGGAAUAUACCCUUUGGGUACGGAAUAGCCUCGGGAAACUGAGAGUAAUACCGUAUGUGCCCUUGGGGGAAAGAUUUAUCGCCAAAGGACUUAGCCCGCGUUGGAUUAGAUAGUUGGUGGGGUAAUGGCCUACCAAGGUCUACGGAUCCAUAGCUGGUUUGAGAGGAUGAUCAGCAACACUGGGACUGAGACACGGCCCAGACUCCUACGGGAGGCAGCAGUGGGGAAUCUUAGACAAUGGGCGCAAGCCUGAUCUAGCCAUGCC